rnacentral:rRNA from 1 species
CGCCGCGGUUAUACGAGCAGGCCCAAGUUGAUUAACAUCGGCGUAAAGAGUGGUUAAUAAAACCCCCAAACUAAAGUCAAACAAUCUCAAGACUGUUACAAGUACCCGAGAAAAGGAGCCUCAACUACGAAAGUGACUUUACUUUUUAUGACCCACGAAAGCUAAGAAA